AAUAAAACACAACACACACUAAGAGUGUGUGUGUGUGUGCGUACGACCAGGAGGGGCUCCAAGGAGCCAAACCCUAGCUUGAUCAAUACCUUCAAAUUGGAGGAUCAAUUCAAGACCAAAUCAAUGCAUGAACGCGUAUAAACGAUCACCGAGUCAAGAGGAUCGAAAGGUGGAGGCUUGGGAAAGAAGCGGUCAAACGAAUCAAGCACGAGAAGAAAAAGCGUAUUCGGGUGCGAGGAGUAAAUGUGAAAUGGGUAUUAGCAACGCCAUGGAUUAGCGGUUAUAAAAGCAAGGUAUUAAAAACGGGUUGAUAUAUUGACCCGCGCCAGGUACACUAUGGGAUGCCGGAAGACGAUCAAACUGAAGAACCGAACACAAUAAAGACUCAUGCUUCCGCACAUUGCCUCGUUGUAAAUUUUAACGACGAACCCAAUCACGUU